rnacentral:rRNA from 1 species
UACGUAGGGUGCAAGCGUUGUCCGGAAUCAUUGGGCGUAAAGCGCGCGUAGGCGGCCCGGUAAGUCCGCUGUAAAAGUCCAUGGCUCAACCCUGGAAAGCCGGUGGAUACUGUCGGGCUAGAGUUCGGAAGAGGCGAGUGGAAUUCCUGGUGUAGCGGUGGAAUGCGCAGAUAUCAGGAGGAACACCGAUGGCGAAGGCAGCUCGCUGGGACGGUACUGACGCUGAGGCGCGAAAGCGUGGGGAGCGAACAGG